GGGAGCUGGUUCCAGACACCAUCACCUAUACCACUCUUAUUGACGGAUUUUGCAAAGUGGGGAGGAUGCAAGAUGCCCAAAAGUUGUUCUCUGAGAUGCAUUGUGGUGGCCAACUUCCAAAUGUUCAAACUUACGCUGUUUUACUUGAUGGCCUUUGUAACAACCAACAACUUUCUACGGCACUGGAACUGCUUAGAGAGAUGGAAGGGAAGAAGUUGGAACUAGAUAUUGUAACCUACAACAUUAUCAUUGAAGGUUUGUGCAAAGCUGGAGAAAUGGAUUCUGCAAUAAAUGUCUUCUCUGGUUUGUCAUCAAAGCAUAUUCAACCUGAUGUUUGGACAUAUACCAUAAUGAUCAGUGGACUUUGUGAAGGUGGCCUUUUAAGUGAAGCUGAAAAGUUGUUGACAGAAAUGGAGGAGAAAGGCUGUUCUCCAGAUGAUUGUACCUAUAACACAAUCAUCCAAGGUUUUUUCAAUAACAAUGAGUCGUCAAGGGCUACGGGACUUAUUCUAGAAAUGUGUGAGAGGGGUUUCUCUGCAGAUGCAUCGACUAUGGAGUUGAUUGCUGAUUUAUUGUUGAAGGGUACAGUGGAUCCUGUAUUAUUAGCAUGGCUUAAAGAUACAGUCUGAUGCUGCAGUGCUGCUCCUUUGGCAACCUUGGAUGUUCUGUCAAUCCUGUUUAUUAUCCGGAUGGAGACCACCAUGUUGAUUUACGAAAUGAGGGCCAGCAUCAAAGAAUUUUAUGGGGUGAUAUUUCCUUCUUUGUUGCAACUUCAAAAGGGCAUCACUGAUAUGAAGCACACAGGGCAGAAAAGAGGUUUUGUACCAUCAGAUUCAGAAGAAAGGAUGAGUUGGAGAGAGAAGAGAAGAAGAGAAGAAGAGUGGAAUUUGCAUAGAGGGGAACAAAACAAAGUUAUGUUGCCCAACACCCCAACUGCAGUCAUUAAUUGUGUUUGAGCUUUGAUGUGUUAGUGACGAUGGUUAUCUCUACAAGGAAGUGAA